rnacentral:rRNA from 1 species
AGCGAACGCUGGCGGCAGGCCUAACACAUGCAAGUCGAACGAAGUCUUCGGACUUAGUGGCGGACGGGUGAGUAACACGCGGGAACGUGCCUUUAGGUUCGGAAUAACUCAGGGAAACUUGUGCUAAUACCGAAUGUGCCCUUCGGGGGAAAGAUUUAUCGCCUUUAGAGCGGCCCGCGUCUGAUUAGCUAGUUGGUGAGGUAAAGGCUCACCAAGGCGACGAUCAGUAGCUGGUCUGAGAGGAUGAUCAGCCACAUUGGACUGAGACACGGCCCAAACUCCUACGGGAGGCAGCAGUGGGGAAUCUUGCGCAAUGGGCGAAAGCCUGACGCAGCCAUGCCGCGUGAAUGAUGAAGGUCUUAGGAUUGUAAAAUUCUUUCACCGGGGACGAUAAUGACGGUACCCGGAGAAGAAGCCCCGGCUAACUUCGUGCCAGCCGCCGCGGUAACAC